AUUGAACGCUGGCGGAAUGCUUUACACAUGCAAGUCGAACGGCAGCACGGGGCAACCUGGUGGCGAGUGGCGAACGGGUGAGUAAUACAUCGGAACGUGCCCAAUCGUGGGGGAUAACGUAGCGAAAGCUACGCUAAUACCGCAUACGAUCUACGGAUGAAAGCGGGGGAUCGCAAGACCUCGCGCGGAUGGAGCGGCCCAUGGCAGAUUAGGUAGUUGGUGGGGUAAAGGCUCACAAAGCCGACGAUCUGUAGCUGGUCUGAGAGGACGACCAGCCACACUGGGACUGAGACACGGCCCAGACUCCUACGGGAGGCAGCAGUGGGGAAUUUUGGACAAUGGGCGCAAGCCUGAUCCAGCCAUUCCGCGUGCAGGAUGAAGGCCUUCGGGUUGUAAACUGCUUUUGUACGGAACGAAAAGGCUCUGGUUAAUACCCGGGGCUCAUGACGGUACCGUAAGAAUAAGCACCGGCUAACUACGUGCCAGCAGCCGCAGUAACAC
rnacentral:rRNA from 1 species